UACGAAGGGGGCUAGCGUUGUUCGGAAUUACUGGGCGUAAAGGGCGCGUAGGCGGUGUGUCAAGUCAGGCGUGAAAGCCCCGGGCUCAACCUGGGAACCGCGCUUGAGACUGGCACGCUCGAGUUCGGGAGAGGAUGGUGGAAUUCCCAGUGUAGAGGUGAAAUUCGUAGAUAUUGGGAAGAACACCGAUGGCGAAGGCAGCCAUCUGGACCGAAACUGACGCUGAGGCGCGAAAGCGUGGGGAGCAAACAGG
rnacentral:rRNA from 1 species